UAACCAUACUAGGCCUUGCUAAUAGCUGGGUCUGUGUUGGGGUUCUGCAGACACUUGCAGGCUCUGAAAACCAGUGGCGGGCUUGCAGUGGCUCCAAGCGUAGUAACAUUUUUCUCGUUUACGGAGACGUCUCAAGGCUCCCAGCCAUUAAACACGCUUUGGGCGUGGGGAGAGGGCACAGCAGUUUUGUCCCCUCAAAA
rnacentral:misc_RNA from 1 species